UGUGUGUGUGUGUGUGUGUGUGUGUGUGUGUGUGUGUAUAUAUAUAUAUAUAUAUAUAUACACACACACACACAUACACACACACACACACACACACA
rnacentral:miRNA from 1 species